rnacentral:rRNA from 1 species
AACCAAGGCAACGAUGCAUAGCCGACCUGAGAGGGUGAUCGGCCACACUGGAACUGAGACACGGUCCAGACUCCUACGGGAGGCAGCAGUAGGGGAAUCUUUCCGCAAUGGGCGAAAGCCUGACGGAGCAACGCCGCGUGAGUGAUGAAGGUCUUCGGAUCGUAAAAACUCUGUUAUUAGGGAAGAACAUAUGUGUAAGUAACUGUGCACAUCUUGACGGUACCUAAUCAGAAAGCCACGGCUAACUACGUGCCAGCAGCCGCGGUAAUACGUAGGUGGCAAGCGUUAUCCGGAAUUAUUGGGCGUAAAGCGCGCGUAGGCGGUUUUUUAAGUCUGACGUGAAAGCCCACGGCUCAACCGUGGAGGGUCAUUGGAAACUGGAAAACUUGAGUGCAGAAGAGGAAAGUGGAAUUCCAUGUGUAGCGGUGAAAUGCGCAGAGAUAUGGAGGAACACCAGUGGCGAAGGCGACUUUCUGGUCUGUAACUGACGCUGAUGUGCGAAAGCGUGGGGAUCAAACAGGAUUAGAUACCCUGGUAGUCCACGCCGUAAACGAUGAGUGCUAAGUGUUAGGGGGUUUCCGCCCCUUAGUGCUGCAGCUAACGCAUUAAGCACUCCGCCUGGGGAGUACGACCGCA